rnacentral:rRNA from 1 species
AACAAAAUGGAGAGUUUGAUCCUUGGUCAAGGAUGAACGCCUGGCGGCGUGCUUAACACAUGCAAGUCGAACGGGAUCCGGCCAGCUUGCUGGUUGGUGAGAGUGGCGAACGGGUGAGUAAUGCGUGACCGACCUGCCCCAUGCUCCGGAAUAGCUCCUGGAAACGGGUGGUAAUGCCGGAUGGUCCAGCAUGCUGCAUGGCGUGUUGGGAAAGAUUUAUCGGCGUGGGAUGGGGUCGCGUCCUAUCAGCUUGACGGUGGGGUGAUGGCCUACCGUGGCUUCGACGGGUAGCCGGCCUGAGAGGGCGACCGGCCACAUUGGGACUGAGAUACGGCCCAGACUCCUACGGGAGGCAGCAGUGGGGAAUAUUGCACAAUGGGCGCAAGCCUGAUGCAGCGACGCCGCGUGAGGGAUGGAGGCCUUCGGGUUGUAAACCUCUUUUAGCAGGGAGCAAGGCUUCGGUUGAGUGUACCUGUUGAAUAAGCACCGGCUAACUACGUGCCAGCAGCCGCGGUUAAAUCUGAGCCA